AGGAGGAGAGCAGCCAGAACACGAUGCAGCUGGUCCAGCCUCCAGAGGGGUGAAGGAGCAUGGAGCUGGGAAGGGCCUCACUUGGAGCUGGGAGCCGAGUGGUCUGCGUGGAGGAAGGUGGCAGUGGUGUAGUUCUGGAAGAGAGGCUGCAGGAACAUGCCGAUGGUGCCAAAGACACAGACGAAGACAAAGAUCCAAAGGAACAGACGGUCGAUCACCAUGGCGACAUACUUCCAGUCCUCACUCACCUGGACAGAGGAGAGGAAGGAGACCCAGAAUUCCAGUCCUCCCUAGCUCUACCUGUGAACUCCUACACAUCCUUCAAAGCCUAAAUCAAAUGUCACCUCUUCUAUGAAGGCUUCCCUGAUCCCCCUGAUGAGAAUGAACCACUGUUUCCUCUGGGUUCCCUCAGCACUGUGUACACGUCUCUAUCACGGUAUUUUUACUGCACUGUAUUGUCAUUUCAAUUUGUAUGCCUGUCCCCUCCUUCCUCCCUGCCCGCCUCCCGCCACUUAAGCUAUGAGCUCCUAAACUACAGGGACCCGAUCUGAUUCAUCUUUG